GGAAUAUUGGACAAUGGGCGAAAGCCUGAUCCAGCAAUGCCGCGUGAGUGAUGAAGGCCUUAGGGUUGUAAAGCUCUUUUACCCGGGAUGAUAAUGACAGUACCGGGAGAAUCAGCUCCGGCUAACUCCGUGCCAGCAGCCGCGGUAAUACGGAGGGAGCUAGCGUUGUUCGGAAUUACUGGGCGUAAAGCGCACGUAGGCGGCUUUUUAAGUCAGGGGUGAAAUCCCGGGGCUCAACCCCGGAACUGCCUCUGAAACUGGAUGGCUAGAAUCUUGGAGAGGCGAGUGGAAUUCCGAGUGUAGAGGUGAAAUUCGUAGAUAUUCGGAGGAACACCAGUGGCGAAGGCGGCUCACUGGCUCGAUACUGACGCUGAGGUGCGAAAGCGUGGGGAGCAAAC
rnacentral:rRNA from 1 species